rnacentral:lncRNA from 1 species
CAGCGACAAUAACAUGAUGUGUGGAUGUCACCUGCCAGCCGUUGUCAAUUUUAUGAAGAAAACGUACAACAGAAGUGUGAAUGUCUUGGGCAAGUGUCAUAAAGAUCUGGGCAAUAACCAAGGCAGAAAAAUAAGUAUACUGGAUUAUUCACAAUGUGAAAGCCGGACUAAUUCCUUUGUAUUCUAUCUGAUUUACACUAAGAACCCACACACUCAUAGAUCAAACGGGAAGUUCAAUGGAUAUAAAAUCUCUGCUGAGAACAUAUCUAGAGCUGUGGAGCGUGAACUCUCAACCAUGAUAGAAAAAUUCAGAGUUAAAUAUUGUGGGUAAGCAAAAAA